rnacentral:lncRNA from 1 species
CUCCACCGCUAAAUAAAUUAGAAUCCAUUCUAAUUCAAUAACUAGAACUAUCUCUUGUGCCACUUUACAACUUGACUCCCCAAUUUCGUGAAUUACAUCCACUGUAUUGAUAUUUUGUGCCAACAAAUUUUGUUCUCUCUACGAAGGCACUAGCAUUGAUAUAGGACUUUCUUCUACUGGCGGUAUUUGAUGCAAUGUAUGCAUAAUUAUAGCAUACACAUAAUUGAUGGUGAGCAAUCUGACUGGUGUAAAAACUGCAACAACUGUGCAUUCUAAAAGUCUUUUAUUCUUCUCGACAUCUAAUAGAUAUUUAACUUCAUUGGCUCCAUAUUAGUAAUGAUUACCACAGAAGGUGGUUUUGAUGCGCAUCUAGCUCUCAUAUUUUGGCCACUAUCCUCUUUGUCUGUAACUUGCUUUACACUUUCAAUUGCCAUGACACUCCCUCUCUCAAACUCUUAAUUGGAACUACUACUCUCGAAUACACAAAAAAUACAAAAAAUGGCAAUCUUAGAAAAAAAACAAUCCAAAACGACACCACAGAAUGACCUCUAACUGGUGCCCUACUCCUAUUUUUUUACUACCUAGUGAUAAUGACAACAUGUUAUCUAUACUUUUUGUUUUUCACUUCUAUCUCAUCUAAUACAUUAGUAUUUAUUAACUAUCUUUUCAGCCACCUCUACACCCUAACACACUUAUAGCAUACCUAGGUCUAUCUUGAGUCCAU